rnacentral:misc_RNA from 1 species
UAGCACCGCUCGAGCCCGCCCCCCGGGGCGGAGGCUCGGUGUUGGGGACCCGCGGGGGCGGCGAGGCCUAGGCCCCGCCCGCCCCCUCGGCCCUGAAAAGCAGUGGCGGCCCUCCAAGGCAAGCCCCCAGCGGAGUAGAACUCUUUACGUCUCGCUCGGGCGCCCUGGCAGGGACGGCCUCGAACCCAACGGGGGGCCCACGCCCCCCAGCAACACCC